UAACGCGUGAGGAACCUGCCUCAAAGAGGGGGACAGCAGUUGGAAACGACUGCUAAUACCGCAUAAGCCCACGGCUCGGCAUCGAGCAGAGGGAAAAGGAGCAAUCCGCUUUGAGAUGGCCUCGCGUCCGAUUAGCUAGUUGGUGAGGUAAUGGCCCACCAAGGCGACGAUCGGUAGCCGGACUGAGAGGUUGAACGGCCACAUUGGGACUGAGACACGGCCCAG
rnacentral:rRNA from 1 species